AGAUGCGAUCAUACCAACACAAAACCACCGGAUCCCAUUAGAACUCCGAAGUUAAGCGUGCUUGGGCGAGAGUAGUACUAGGAUGGGUGACCUCUUGGGAAGUCCUCGUGUUGCAUUCC
rnacentral:rRNA from 2 species